CUUCCCCCAUGUGUCUACCACUGACAUAUUGUGCUUGGUUGUUUUUACCAUUCCAGUUUUGUUCCCCAGGAAUAACAAGGCAUGGAGCCUAACUGCAUCAAGGUAUUCCAGCGAGGGCUGUGGAAACCACCAGAGAAACACUUCUGUCCACACGCAUGCUCUGGGCAAAGGUUGGUUGUAUAACUACUGCCAGUGAAGCCUGGGGACUGAAGAAAUUGAAGAAGAAUGUAGAGAUUGGCUGAGGUCUAUGGACCCACCAGGCUACAACCUCAUCUCCCUGCCUUCCACCUCUGCUUGUACUUUUAGUAUUCCACUUUCCCCUUUCAUACUGCAUAUCACCUCCCCUACCUCCUCACCUCUUCUUUUAAAGUACUUUUAUUUACUUCUAUAGUUCACGGUCUCUAGGCUCCUGACCCCUGUCUAAACUCCCACAUAAAUACUCAUACACAAAAUUUAGAAGCUGGGAUCUACUCAUGACAGAGAAUGUCCCCCGCCCCCCAUUCCACUUAUUUUCCUAUCUUAUUAUACGACUGGAUAAAAUCUAUAGUGUUUACAUACAAUAUUUUCAUGAUUUAUUCAUCAGUUUGUGGACAUCAGGUUGAUAUUACUUCUUAAGUUUUGUGUCUAGAACAUCAAUAAACAUGAAUGUAUAAG